rnacentral:tRNA from 1 species
UGAUGUAUCUGUGUCAGUGGUAGAGCACUUGCCUAGCAUGCAUGAGGCCCUGAGUUCAAUCCUCAGUACCACAA